rnacentral:rRNA from 1 species
UGGAUCCAGACUUUGAUUCUGGCUCAGGAUGAACGCUGGCGGCGUGCCUAACACAUGCAAGUCGAACGAAGCUUGACGGAUGAUUUCUUCGGAAUGAAACCUGAUAUGACUUAGUGGCGGACGGGUGAGUAACACGUGAGCAACCUGCCUUUCAGAGGGGGAUAACGGCUGGAAACGGUCGCUAAUACCGCAUGACGUGUUCGGAUGGCAUCAUCUGAACAUCAAAGAUUUAUCGCUGAAAGAUGGGCUCGCGUCUGAUUAGAUAGUUGGUGGGGUAGCGGCCUACCAAGUCUACGAUCAGUAGCCGGACUGAGAGGUUGAACGGCCACAUUGGGACUGAGAUACGGCCCAGACUCCUACGGGAGGCAGCAGUGGGGAAUAUUGCACAAUGGGGGAAACCCUGAUGCAGCAACGCCGCGUGAAGGAUGACGGUUUUCGGAUUGUAAACUUCUUUUCUUAGUGACGAAGACAGUGACGCUAGCUAAGGAAUAAGCAUCGGCUAACUACGUGCCAGCAGCCGCGGUAAUACGUAGGAUGCAAGCGUUAUCCGGAUUUACUGGGUGUAAAGGGAGCGCAGGCGGGACUGCAAGUUGGAUGUGAAAUACCGUGGCUUAACCACGGAACUGCAUCCAAAACUGUAGUUCUUGAGUGAAGUAGAGGCAAGCGGAAUUCCGAGUGUAGCGGUGAAAUGCGUAGAUAUUCGGAGGAACACCAGUGGCGAAGGCGGCUUGCUGGGCUUUAACUGACGCUGAGGCUCGAAAGUGUGGGGAGCAAACAGGAUUAGAUACCCUGGUAGUCCACACUGUAAACGAUGAUAGCUAGGUGUGGGGGGUCUGACCCCUUCCGUGCCGGAGUUAACGCAAUAAGCUAUCCACCUGGGGAGUACGACCGCAAGGUUGCAACUCAAAUGAAUUGACGGA